rnacentral:rRNA from 1 species
GAUAGUAAUGCUCUUUUGUCAGGAGAAGAACGGAUGAGAAGUUAAUUUCUCCCGCUAUGACGUACCUGAAGAAUUAGCACGGGCUACUACGUGCAGCAGCGCGUAAUACGUAGGGUGCAAGCGUUAUCGGAAUUACUGGGCGUAAAGCGUGCGCAGCGUUUUGUAAGUCUGAUGUGAAAUCCCCGGGCUCACCUGGGAAUUGCAUUGAGACUGCAAGGCUAGAAUCUGGCAGAGGGGGGUAGAAUUCCACGUGUAGCAGUGAAAUGCGUAGAGAUGUGGAGGAACACCGAUGGCGAAGGCAGCCCCCUGGGUCAAGAUUGACGCUCAUGCACGAAAGCGUGGGGAGCAAACAGGAUUAGAUACCCUGGUAGUCCACGCCCUAAACGAUGUCUACUAGUUGUCGGGUUUUAAUUAACUUGGUAACGCAGCUAACGCGUGAAGUAGACCGCCUGGGGAGUACGGUCGCAAGAUUAAAACUCAAAGGAAUUGACGGGGACCCGCACAAGCGGUGGAUGAUGUGGAUUAAUUCGAUGCAACGCGAAAAACCUUACCUACCCUUGACAUGGCAGGAAUCCCGAAGAGAUUUGGGAGUGCUCGAAAGAGAACCUGCACACAGGUGCUGCAUGGCUGUCGUCAGCUCGUGUCGUGAGAUGUUGGGUUAAGUCCCGCAACGAGCGCAACCCUUGUCAUUAGUUGCUACGAAAGAGCACUCUAAUGAGACUGCCGGUGACAAACCGGAGGAAGGUGGGGAUGACGUCAAGUCCUCAUGGCCCUUAUGGGUAGGGCUUCACACGUCAUAUAAUGGUACAUACAGAGGGCCGCCAACCCGCGAGGGGGAGCUAAUCCCGGAAAGUGUAUCGUAGUCCGGAUUGUAGUCUGCAACUCGACUACAUGAAGUUGGAAUCGCUAGUAAUCGCGGAUCAGCAUGUCGCGGUGAAUACGUUCCCGGGUCUUGUACACACCGCCCGUCACACCAUGGGAGCGGGUUUUACCAGAAGUAGGUAGCUUAACCGCAAGGAGGGCGCUUACCACGGUAGGAUUCGUGACUGGGGUGAAGUCGUAACAAGGUAGCCGUAUCGGAAGGUGCGGCUGGAUCACCUCCUUAAUCGGAUCCCGGGCCCGUCGACUGUC